rnacentral:rRNA from 1 species
UACGUAGGCAGCAAGCGUUGUUCGGAGUUACUGGGCGUAAAGAGUGUGUAGGCGGUUUUCUAAGUUUGGUGUGAAAUCUCCCGGCUUAACUGGGAGGGUGCGCCGAAGACUGGAAGGCUUGAGUAUGGGAGAGGAAAGCGGAAUUCCUGGUGUAGCGGUGAAAUGCGUAGAUAUCAGGAGGAACACCUGCGGUGUAGACGGCUUUCUGGACCAUUGCUGACGCUGAGACACGAAAGCGUGGGUAGCAAACAGG